AUUCCCGUUGAUCCUGCGGGAGGUUGCUGCUAUUGGGAUUCGACUAAGCCAUGCAAGUCAAGGGGUUUCUUCGGAAACACCGGCGAACUGCUCAGUAACACGUCAAUAAUUUACCCUUAGGUCUAGAAUAACUUUGGGAAACUGAGGCUAAUGCUGGAUAAGAAAAAGGUAUUGGAAUAUCUUUUUUCUGAAAGCUACGGUGCCUAAGGAUGAGUUGGCGGCUGAUUAGGUUGUUGGUGGGGUAAAGGCCCACCAAGCCGAAGAUCAGUAGGAGCCUUGCGAGAGGUAGCUCCGAGAAGGACACUGAGAUACUGGUCCUAGCCCUACGGGGUGCAGCAGGCGCGAAACCUU
rnacentral:rRNA from 1 species